AUUUACAAUACAGCAAACUCAUUCAAAUUCAACAAUUCAAACAAUUUUAAUUCAGAUAAAUUAAGUUAAGCAUCAUGAGUCUGAAUGAUCUAGUUUUCCAGUCUUGGCUUGUCCCUACCGAGAACUGUGCAAGGUCAAAACUUACUGAGAAUACUCACAUUUCUAUAUCACAUUUCAACUGAAACAAGACUUAAGGAUUAAAUGUUAAAAUGGAAAAAAAAAUACUAUGAUAACAUUAUUAACUAGUCUUAAAUAUUUCAAAAAUUGUCAGUUUCUUACCUGAGCUAUUGUCUGUUUUAGAAUUGAUUUUAG
rnacentral:lncRNA from 1 species